rfam:Desulfosporosinus meridiei DSM 13257, complete genome.
GUUCGGUUGGGGUAAACUUCGCGAAAGCGAAGGACGCUAAAGUCAUGGGUCUAAGGCUAAAUUCAAAGGGCUGCUAAUACCUUUGAGGGCUAUGAUCGCCAGACUACAAGC